rnacentral:rRNA from 1 species
GUAGGGAGCAAGCGUUGUUCGGAAUUAUUGGGCGUAAAGAGCGCGUAGGCGGUUCGGUAAGUCUGACGUGAAAUCCCAGAGCUUAACUCUGGAACUGCGUUGGAUACUGCCGAGCUUGAGUGUGGGAGAGGAGAGUGGAAUUCCCAGUGUAGAGGUGAAAUUCGUAGAUAUUGGGAGGAACACCCGUGGCGAAGGUGGCUCUCUGGACCACAACUGACGCUGAGGCGCGAAAGCUAGGGUAGCAAACGGGAUUAGAUACCCCGGUAGUCCUAGCCGUAGACGAUGGGCACUAGGUGUUGGAGGUAUCGACCCCUCCAGUGCCGCAGCUAACGCAUUAAGUGCCCCGCCUGGGGAGUACGGUCGCAAGACUA